rnacentral:rRNA from 1 species
UACGGAGGAUCCAAGCGUUAUCCGGAAUCAUUGGGUUUAAAGGGUCCGUAGGCGGCCCAGUAAGUCAGUGGUGAAAUCUCCCCGCUCAACGGGGAAACGGCCAUUGAUACUGCUCGACUAGAGUGCGGAAGGGGCAACUGGAAUUCUUGGUGUAGCGGUGAAAUGCGUAGAUAUCAAGAGGAACACCUGCGGCGAAGGCGGGUUGCUGGGCCGACACUGACGCUGAAGCGCGAAAGCUAGGGGAGCGAACGGG